rnacentral:rRNA from 1 species
UACGUAGGGGGCAAGCGUUGUCCGGAUUUAUUGGGCGUAAAGCGCUCGCAGGUGGUUCGUCGCGUCGUGCGUGAAAGACCCCGGCUCAACUGGGGGAGGUCGUGCGAUACGGGCGGACUGGAGGCCAGUAGGGGGAUGCGGAAUUCCUGGUGUAGCGGUGAAAUGCGCAGAUAUCAGGAAGAACACCCGUGGCGAAGGCGGUUCUCUGGGACGGUACUGACGCUGAGACGCGAAAGCGUGGGGAGCGAACAGG